rnacentral:tRNA from 1 species
GGCGGCUUAGCUCAGUCGGUAGAGCGAUGGAAUCAUAAUCCACAGGUCACUGGUUCAAGCCCGGUAGCCGCCACCA